rnacentral:rRNA from 1 species
GCGGCGUGCAUAAUACAUGCAAGUAGAACGCUGAAGGAGGAGCUUGCUUCUCCGGAUGAGUUGCGAACCGGGUGAGUAACGCGUAGGUAACCUGCCUGGUAGCGGGGGAUAACUAUUGGAAACGAUAGCUAAUACCGCAUAAGAGUAGAUGUCGCAUGACAUUUGCUUAAAAGGUGCAAUUGCAUCACUACCAGAUGGACCUGCGUUGUAUUAGCUAGUUGGUGAGGUAACGGCUCACCAAGGCAACGAUACAUAGCCGACCUGAGAGGGUGAUCGGCCACACUGGGACUGAGACACGGCCCAGACUCCUACGGGAGGCAGCAGUAGGGAAUCUUCGGCAAUGGACGGAAGUCUGACCGAGCAACGCCGCGUGAGUGAAGAAGGUUUUCGGAUCGUAAAGCUCUGUCUAAGAGAAGAACGAGUGUGAGAGUGGAAACGUCCACACUGGGAC